UCAACAAGACUCUUCUCUAAUUCAACAUUCCAUGCAGCUCUCUCAACACCACCUACAAUUAAAAAUUAAGGCACAUCUAAUCAUAUAAAUGUCAACCAUGAACAAAUCAUGUAAAAGCUUUUAUCAAAUAAAUUUGACAUUAUUACCGCCACAUUUCUUUGAUUUUGCAGCUUUAGGAGAAGCCUUCUUUUGAGCAGCUUUAGAUAAAGCUAUUAUCUUAGGAGAACCUCUAAACAUCUUAUCUACAACAUAAAAAUAACACAUUUAUUCAGCAUAGAAGUAUUCACUAAUUUAUGCGUUGUUGGUAGUCAGACCACAUAUGAUAUGCUAUUGUAUCUCUUAAGUUAUUCCCUUCUAAAUUUCCUUCAUCAUUUCCUUGGUCUCCAUCAUGUAGGUUGAUAAAAGUUUAUGGAUUGAUAUUUCCUUGAUCAUUCUCUAGCCACCUCUCAUCACCAUUUAGUGACCGAAUCAAGUUAUGAAAGACUGCAGUAGCUAAAGGUAUUUUGGCUUGGUUUUCUAUUUUGUGAAAGGUAGCAACUUUGAGGAUUGGAAAUCUCUUCUUUAUGACACCCAAAGCCCUCUCUACAUGAUUUCUUAAAAUGGCAUGGCGAUGAUUAUAUAACUCCUUAUGAUUUUGAGGUCUUCGGUGGCCACGACCAAACUCUUUCAAGUGGUACCUAACCCCACGAUAAGGCGCAAGAAAGGAAGCUGUAUUGGCAUAACCACCAUCUACUAGGUAGAACUUUCUGGAAGGUACUUCAACCUUUCCUAUAGAAUUGGUCAUUGCAGAUCUGAGAACCAUUGAAUCUGUUGCUGAUCCUUCCCAUCCAGCUGACAAAUAAGUGACUCUGAGAUCAAAAUCACAAACGAACAUCACAUUUUGACUAAGUGUCCCUUUUCUAUUCCUGAAUGGUGCAGCUUGAUUAGGUGACAUCGAUAUUGGAACGUGGGUUCCAUCUAUUGAACCCAGACAAUUCUGCAAAAAAGUAAAAAAAGAAAUGAUCUUCUAAGAUCAUUUAAGGUUGAGUACCUUGUAAGAUUGACACAUAAGAGUUAAAAGAAAUCACCUUAAAGUAAGGGUAAAAUCGGUUAUCUUCACGAACUUUUGCAUGUACUUGAUUGGAGGGAGGUUUUAGGAACCGCAUGCUGAGGGCAAGGAUAACUAUGUCAAAGAAAUGUUUGAUCACACGAUGGAAUGUAUCAUUGCUGUGACCAAAGAAUACUUGGAGAUCCUCAAAUGAUGCAUUGUGACUAAUCAUAUAUAAAAAGAAACCACGCUUCUCCUCGACCUUGAUUCUAGUGUCUUUAACCAACGCUUUGCAUCUAAGAUAAUUGACCAAGGCUUUAAAGAUGUAAGGUUCCAUCCUAAAUGAUGUCCUACAAUUCUUGAUGUGGCCUUCAAGUAGCUCCCUAACCUUUUUCUCUCCAGUUAGCGUUGAUGUAUGUCGCAACUUUUUUUCACUAUCUCCAAUAUAGCCCAAGAGAUGUAGAGUAGGGAGAAUUAAAAGCAUGAUGUCGUCAUCAUCAUCAUCCCUCCUUUUUCUAAUGCGAUCUCUAGUACUCAUAUCCAUUGUAAAACUAUAAGAAAUAUGAAGGAACACAAGGAAAUCAAGUUAACAAAAAUAGUUACACACUUCAUAUAAUUUUAAGACUAUAAAUUUUACACACAGCACCUUGAAAAAUGGAUUAGACACCGGAUCUCAAGAGGGGGAAAGCUCGUCCUCGCGACUCUCACAAGAGUAGGGACAAUCUGAAAA
rnacentral:lncRNA from 1 species